CGCGAACGUUGGCGGCGCACCUAACACAUGCAAGUCGAGGGGCAGCGGGCCCGCCCUUUUGGGCGGGUGCCGGCGACCGGCGAACGGGUGAGUAACGCGUAGCUAACCUACCCCGAGGAUGGGGAUAACCCCCCGAAAGGGGGGCUAAUACCCAAUAAUGACACUGGCCCACGCGGUCAGUGUCCAAAGGCCGCAAGGCGCCNCGGGAUGGGGCUGCGUCCCAUCAGCUAGUUGGUGAGGUAACGGCUCACCAAGGCUACGACGGGUAGCUGGUCUGAGAGGAUGGCCAGCCACAGUGGGACUGAGACACGGCCCGCACCCCUACGGGGGGCAGCAGUGGGGAAUAUUGGGCAAUGGCCGAAAGGCUGACCCAGNGACGCCGCGUGGUGGAAGAAGCCCUUCGGGGUGUAAACACCUGUCAGGGGGGAAGAUAAUGACGGUACCCCCAGAGGAAGGGACGGCUAACUACGUGCCAGCAGCCGCGGUAAUACGUA
rnacentral:rRNA from 1 species